CGCCGUCACUCCUACGGGGAGGCAGCAGUAGGGAAUCUUCCACAAUGGGCGCAAGCCUGAUGGAGCAACACCGCGUGAGUGAAGAAGGGUUUCGGCUCGUAAAGCUCUGUUGUUAAAGAAGAACACGUAUGAGAGUAACUGUUCAUACGUUGACGGUAUUUAACCAGAAAGUCACGGCUAACUACGUGCCAGCAGCCGCGGUAAUACGUAGGUGGCAAGCGUUAUCCGGAUUUAUUGGGCGUAAAGAGAGUGCAGGCGGUUUUCUAAGUCUGAUGUGAAAGCCUUCGGCUUAACCGGAGAAGUGCAUCGGAAACUGGAUAACUUGAGUGCAGAAGAGGGUAGUGGAACUCCAUGUGUAGCGGUGGAAUGCGUAGAUAUAUGGAAGAACACCAGUGGCGAAGGCGGCUACCUGGUCUGCAACUGACGCUGAGACUCGAAAGCAUAGGUAGCGAACAGGAUUAGAUACCCUGGUAG
rnacentral:rRNA from 1 species